GAAUUAAUUCAGGUUACAGUCACGGCAGUCGCAAUCACUUUUGACAAAAAUCAGGCUUUACAAACCACAAAAACCCCUGUUGAAAAGUCAUUGCAAAGAGCCUCAACAGAUAAUGAAGAACUUUUACAAUUUCCACUGGAACUGUGUUCAGAUUCACUUCCUUCUCAUCCUUUUCCACCAGCUAAAGAACACCUGGAGAGUGCAAGUUCUAACUCAGGUAUACCAGCUGCACAGAGAGCAACGUCAGUUGAUUACAGUUCCUUUGCAGACAGAUGCAGCAGCUGGAUAGAGCUCAUUAAACUGAAAGCUCAGACCAUAAGGCGUGGAUCAAUUAAGACAACCAUGACAGUUGAAAAAGCAAGUCCAGUGGGUGAUGGAAAUUUCCGGAAUCGUUCUGCUCCACCUUGUGCAAAUUCCACAGUUGGGGUUGUUAAGAUGACACCUCUUUCUUUUAUUCCUGGAGCAAAAAUAACUAAGUAUCUUGGGAUAAUUAACAUGUUUUUUAUUCGAGAGACUACUUCUCUUCGGGAGGAAGGAGGAGUCAGUGGUUUUCUCCAUGCUUUUAUUGCUGAAGUGUUUGCAAUGGUGAGAGCUCAUGUUGCUGCAUUAGGAGGGAAUGCUGUUGUCUCCUACAUAAUGAAGCAGUGUGUCUUCAUGGAGAAUCCAAAUAAAAACCAGGCACAGUGUCUUAUAAAUGUAAGUGGUGAUGCAGUGGUUUUUGUUCGUGAAUCUGACUUAGAAGUGGUGUCAUCUCAGCAACCUACUACCAACUGCCAGUCAUCAUGUACUGAAGGCGAAGUUACAACCUGAGGAAAAUUAGGAAAAAAGAGCUCAACUAAAUGAAAUUCAUCAAUCUCUGUUAUUUUGUCAUUAAUUAUCUUCUUAGACUUAAAAUUGAACUUGAGAUAAAUAAGGAAGAAUUGAGUAGAUUUGAUUUGCCUGGAGUCUUUUGGAGGCAUGAGAAUUUUCUAAUCUUGACAUUUUGUUUGCCUGUUCUAGACAGGCCCUGUGGGGUCUUGACCCUUCAGUAAGUUAAGAUAAAUUUUUAAAAGAACCGUAGCAAAGAUGGAACCUUUGUAAUUUAUGUUGAUUUUAAUAAA
rnacentral:lncRNA from 1 species